GCGGCAGGCUUAACACAUGCAAGUCGAGCGAGAAAGUGGCUUCGGUCAUGAGUAAAGCGGCAAACGGGUGAGUAACGCGUGGGAAUUUCCCUUCUAGUCUUGGAUAGCCCCGGGAAACUGGGAUUAAUUCAAGAUAUUAUCUACGGAUGAAAGAUUUAUCGCUAGAAGAUAAGCCCGCGCGAGAUUAGCUAGUUGGUGAGGUAAUGGCUCACCAAGGCAACGAUCUCUAGUUGGUCUGAGAGGAUGAUCAACCACACUGGAACUAAGACACGGUCCAGACUCCUACGGGAGGCAGCAGUGAGGAAUAUUGGACAAUGGGGGAAACCCUGAUCCAGCCAUGCCGCGUGAGUGAUGAAGGCCCUCGGGUUGUAAAACUCUUUAAGUGGGGAAAAUAAUGAUUGUACCCACAGAAUAAGCCACGGCAAACUUCGUGCCAGCCGCCGCAGUAA
rnacentral:rRNA from 1 species